GGUCAGGGCCCAGGGUUAGGGUUUUAGGGUCAGGGCCCAGGGUUAGGGUUUUAGGGUCAGGACCCAGUGUUAGGGUUUUAGGGUCAUGGCCCAGGGUUAGGGUUUUAGGGUCAGGGCCCAGGAUUUGGGUGAUUUCCAGGAAGUGACCUCACAGUGACUCAAGCUACCACUUACUGUUGAUUGUGAUGAAAUGCCAGCUGAGGCACAUGCCUUGGGAGCUAAGUGGUUGCUGCCCUUGACUACUAUGAAGACUGGUGUGGGAAGGGUCGCUUUGGAUGCACUUGAGCAGGGGUCCCCAAUCCCUGAGCCAUGGAGCCGUAAGGAGCCACACAGCAGGUGAGUGGUGUCGAGUGAGGGAGUGAGGGAAGCUUCGUCUGUAUUUACAGCCACUCCCCUUUGCUCACAUUCCCGCCUGAGCUCCACCUUCUCAGAUGAGCAGCAGCAUUAGAUUCUCAUAGGAGAACGCACCCUGUUGUGAACCGUGCAUGUGAGGGAUCUAGGUUGCGCUGUGCUUAUGAGAAUCUAAUACCUAUUGAUCUGUCACUUUCUCCCAUCACGCUCAGGUGGGACCAGCCAGUUUCAGGAAAACAAGCUUAACACGCCCACUGAUUCUACAUUAUGCUCCUACCUCCCGGCAGCCUCGCCAGGCCCAGAACUCUCUCCAGUCAGCCUCUACAGACCAAGCUCAUGACUCACAAUGGCCUAUUGAGGCCCAUACCCUACCUCACGGCAGUCUCCGCAGAUGAGCCUACUGCCUCACAACAGCCUCCACAGGCACAGCUCCAUCGUUACAGUGGCCUCUUUAGACCCAGCUCCUGCCUCCCAGCCUUCUCUCCAGGCCCUGAACUUUCUCCGUGGGACCAUCCAGUUUCAGGAAAACAAGCUUAACACGCCCACUGAUUCUACAUUAUGCUCCUACCUCCCGGCAGCCUCGCCAGGCCCAGAACUCUCUCCAGUCAGCCUCUACAGACCAAGCUCAUGACUCACAAUGGCCUAUUGAGGCCCAUACCCUACCUCACGGCAGUCUCCGCAGAUGAGCCUACUGCCUCACAACAGCCUCCACAGGCACAGCUCCAUCGUUACAAUGGCCUCUUUAGACCCAGCUCCUGCCUCCCAGCCUUCUCUCCAGGCCCUGAACUUUCUCCGUGGGACCAUCCAGUUUCAGGAAAACAAGCUUAACACGCCCACUGAUUCUACAUUAUGCUCCUACCUCCCGGCAGCCUCGCCAGGCCCAGAACUCUCUCCAGUCAGCCUCUACAGACCAAGCUCAUGACUCACAAUGGCCUAUUGAGGCCCAUACCCUACCUCACGGCAGUCUCCGCAGAUGAGCCUACUGCCUCACAACAGCCUCCACAGGCACAGCUCCAUCGUUACAAUGGCCUCUUUAGACCCAGCUCCUGCCUCCCAGCCUUCUCUCCAGGCCCUGAACUUUCUCCGUGGGACCAUCCAGUUUCAGGAAAACAAGCUUAACACGCCCACUGAUUCUACAUUAUGCUCCUACCUCCCGGCAGCCUCGCCAGGCCCAGAACUCUCUCCAGUCAGCCUCUACAGACCAAGCUCAUGACUCACAAUGGCCUAUUGAGGCCCAUACCCUACCUCACGGCAGUCUCCGCAGAUGAGCCUACUGCCUCACAACAGCCUCCACAGGCACAGCUCCAUCGUUACAAUGGCCUCUUUAGACCCAGCUCCUGCCGCCCAGCCUUCUCUCCAGGCCCUGAACUUUCUCCGUAAGUUGAGGUAGCUGGGACUGUAGGUAUACAUGACGAUACUUGGCUAAUUUUUAAAUUGUUUUGCAGACAUGGGGUCUCACUUUGUUGGCCAGGCUGCUGUCAAACUAAUGGCCUCAAGUGACCCUUCCACCCCUGCCUCCCAUCCUCGAGGUAUGUGCCACCACAAGGGGCACUUGUUCAAUUUUCUAAAGAAAAAAUUUCUAAAGUAAGGCUGUGGAUGAUGGCAGGAAGAUAAAAGAAAAACAGAAGAAUAAGUUAAAAUGACUUAUUCACACAUAUUCUUUUGACAGCAAGAAGAACUGUUAGUAUAUACAUUCCUUACAAACAAAGAAACGGCAGAUAAACAAUGUUGUAUAGGAACUUCAACACACACUGUACAAUCUUCCCACUUUGCUGACAUAAGUUAUGGAAAUUUCGUGGUUUCCUUGAGUGUCGCUACCAGUAUUUUGCUUCUCUUAUGAUUUUUAUCAACUUCCUCAUCUGUUAACUUCUCUCCAAAGUAUGUCAUGUCACGACAUACUGCCGCUGCAGGAACACGGCCACUGUCUUCCUAUUAAACAUGUAGAAUGCUUUCCUAAUUUCUCUUUUUACUCUCUGUCUUUGUGUUCUGCAUUUUCCUUACUUUUAUUCUCAGAAACUCCAGAAAUCAAUCGUACUAA